UGGGUGACGGACGGGGACUAUGGCGGGGGGAAACUAGGGAUUUGCGGGACGCGUCCUGCUCUCCCGCGCCGCGCCGUGCCGCAGACAAGAGGUUGGAGGGCGGCUGUCGCCAUGGCGGAGGAGAGGAAGGCGAGUUGAAGGGGAGAGGCCAAGGUGGAGGCGAGGCAGCCCAAGGCCGUCACCGAGGAGGGCGAGGAGGGGCGCCGUCACCACGAAGGAGAGGGGCGAGGGGUUGUGUCGUCGCUGCAGAGGAGGGAGGAGUUCCACUGCACCGCGAGAUUCCAUAAUCUGGGUAUUAUGCAAUUGUGAAAGUGUUGUGCAAUGGAAGAAAUUGGCAAGAGGAUACCUGAAGUUGGUAUGAGAUUUAGAGAUUCGAAUGGGGCCUGGGUGUUUUGAGUAGAAUAUGGGGGUCACAUAGGCUUUGAUGUAAGGAAAAGAUGCACCAACAAAAGCAAAAUUUAUGGAAAGGUGACUUCAUGCAGAUUUGUUUGUUCCAAUGAGGGCCUUAGAAAUAAAUGUUAAACCGAUCAUGAGCCAAAGCAUUUUAUAGCUGAAAGAAGAACUGACUGUAGAAUUCGGAUGCUUAUUAUGUUGGAUCGAGCGGCAAAAAAUUAUGAAGUUACUGAUGUUGUGUUGGAACACAACCACUACCUUCAAUUGCCACAAACCCGCCACUUGUUGGCAUCACAAAGGAAGAUUUCAGAACUGCAAGCUUUCGAGAUAGAAACCGCUGAUGAUUCUGGAAUUAUGCCAAAAGCCACACAUGAGUUCGCUUGUGGUCAAGUUGGUGGGUUGCUUAACCUUGGUUACACUUGUCGUGACCAAAUGAAUCAUCUGUGAAGCAAGUGGCAGAGGGAGUUGGCUUAUGGACAUGCUGGUAGUAUGUUGAAGUUUUUAUAUGACAAAAUAGUCGACAAUCCAUCAUUUGAAAUAUGCUUUGCAGCUCGAUUGUGAGGAGGAUAUUGCCAACAUAUUAUUGGUUGAUGCUAAAUGCUACUUGACUACGCACACUUUGAUGAUGUUGUGACACUACAUUUGGCACAAAUAAAGAGUUUAGGCCAUUUGGUAUUAUUCUUGGGCUCAACCAGUUUAGAGAAACAACCCUUUUUGGUGCUGCACUGAUGUUUGAUGAAACACAUGACUCAUUUAUAUGGCUAUUUGAGACAUUUCUAGCUGCACAUAAUGGAAUGCAGCCUAGGACAAUUUUAUACAGAUCAAGAUGUAGCAAUGGAAAAAUCCAUAGAGAAAGUUUUCACGGAAUCAUAUCAUGGAUUGUGCACCUUUCACAUAAUGCAAAAUUCUUGCAAACAUUAAUCUCCAGUGAAGGGCGGCGAGGAAGAUGGAGUGGAAGAGAGAGAUGAAGUGGAGGAUGAAGAAGAAGAGUCCCAUAUUCUCACUGAUUUUAGUGCUUUUAUGUAUGGCUAUGAGAACAAGAUAACAUUUGAAGAAGCAUUUGCCAAUAUGAGGCUAAAAGUGCAUAAACAAACCUGGUUGGAUAGCAUCUACAAGGUGAAAGAAAAAUGGGUUGAAUGUUAUAUGAGAGAUGUCUUUAGUUUGGGAGUGAGAAGUACACAAUUAAGUGAGAGCUUCAACAAUGCGUUGAAGAAUCAUUUGAAAUCAGAUUGUCAUAUUAUUCGAUCCAUGAUGCAUUUUGAGAGGACGGUGGAAGUAAAAAGAAGAAAGGAAUUGGACUCUGAAUUCGAGGCGAGGAAGAAGUUGUCAAGAAUUAAGAUGUGCACACCUAUGUUGGUGCAAGCAAGCAAAUUGUACACUCCAAUUAUUUUUGAAGCAUUCCAAGGUGAGUAUGAAAGAUCGAUGGCUGGAUGUUGUAGAGUAUUGGAUGGAAAUAACAAAUUUGUUGUUGCUAUUGGGAGUUUGCACCGGUGAUUUGCAAUUUGAGAAGGAGCGCAUAGUGGUAGGUGAUCCUUCGACCCAAAUGGUUUCAUGUAGUUGUGGAAUGUUUAAUAGGACAGGGAUAUUGCAUGGACAUGGUCUAAAAGUUCUUGAUUUGAUGAAUAUAAAGACAUUGCCAACACAUUAUAUCUUAAAGAGAUGGACUAGAGAAGCACACAAUGGAAGCAUACAUAGGCAAGGAAGGAACGUGAUAGAAAAUCCAAAAUUAAAAGCUCAACUCCGAUACAAGGACUUGUCUCAUAAGUUUCACAAUAUGACACAUAAAGCAACCAACUCUCAUGAAUGUUGUGUGCUACUAGAAAGUGCACUUGAUUCCGUUGCUCCACGCAUAGAUGAUUUACUCAGUGCAGCCCCUAGUGCUUUGAGUGAACCAUAUAAAGAUAAAGAAAAUGUUGAUCCAAAAGUGCAGCAAAUAGAUGAGUUGCUUAAUUCUGCACGGCUGAAGAAAAAAGAGGUCCACUCAUCAAGCUUAAGGAGAAAGAAAACUUGGCUUGAUAAGUUACUCAAGGGGAAGCGCAAAACAACUAAAGCUACCACACCAACAACAACAAAAAAGAGCAAAGCAACAAAAGAAAAAAGAUGGUGUGCAACAAAAGAAAAAAAAUAUGAUGUGGAGCCUCAAGUACAAGUGAAGAAGUAUGAAAACAGCAAAGGAGCAAAUUUGGAUCUUCAAGAGAGCAAUGGCAUCAUCAGUUUCACCCAGCUCUUGACGGCUCCACCUUGUGACCAUGAUUAUGUGUUCUAGCAUGCUAGUUCGUUAGAUAGUAUUUUUGGACAUGGUUAACUAUAGUAUUUUGGGGCUAACCAUAUUUUGUGGCCUAAUUGUACAAGUGAAAUGGCCAAAUUGUACACCUGAAUCAUUGUUUCAGUAAUAGCACUUGGUUCUGGAAUUGUACUAGAGCUAUUGAAUUUCAAUGAUAAGUGGAUCGUUGUCUCUCAAGAAAUCUGAAGAUUAGUGUU